GAUGAAGAACGUAGCGAAAUGCGAUAAGUAAUGUGAAUUGCAGAAUUCCGUGAAUCAUCGAAUCUUUGAACGCAUCUUGCGCUCCUUGGUAUUCCUUGGAGCAUGCCUGUUUGAGUAUCAUGAGCAAAUCUCAAAGUCAAUUCCUUUUGUUGAUUCAAUUGGUUUUGCUUUGGACUUGGAGGCCUUGCAGAUUUCACAGUCUGCUCCUCUUAAAUGCAUUAGCUGGAUCUCAGUAAUUAUGCUUGGUUCCACUCGGCGUGAUAAGUAUCACUCGCUGAGGACACUGUUAAAAAGGUGGCCAGGAAAAUACUGAUUGAACCGCUUCUAACGGUCUAUUAAGUUAGACAAUUACCCUUAAGUUUGAUCUCAAAUCAGGUAGGACUACCCGCUGAACUUAAGCAUAUCAAUAAGCGGAGGA
rnacentral:misc_RNA from 1 species